rnacentral:rRNA from 1 species
GACGAACGCUGGCGGCGUGCUUAACACAUGCAAGUCGAGCGAGUGGCGGACGGGUGAGUAAUGUCUGGGAAACUGCCUGUUGGAGGGGGAUAACUACUGGAAAAGGUAGCUAAUACCGCAUACCAUCAGAUGUGCCCAGAGGGGAUUAGCUAGUAGUUGGGGUAACGGCUCACCUAGGCGACGAUCCCUAGCUGGUCUGAGAGGAUGACCAGCCCCACUGGAACUGAGACACGGUCCAGACUCCUACGAGAGGCAGCAGUGGGGAAUAUUGCACAAUGGGCGCAAGCCUGAUGCAGCCAUGCCGCGUGUGUGAAGAAGGCCUUCGGGUUGUAAAGCUCUUUCAGCGGGGAGGCGUUACCCGCAGAAGAAGCACCGGCUAACUCCGUGCCAGCAGCCGCGGUAAUAC